GUUAAGCGACUAAGCGUACACGGUGGAUGCCCUGGCAGUCAGAGGCGAUGAAGGACGUGCUAAUCUGCGAUAAGCGUCGGUAAGGUGAUAUGAACCGUUAUAACCGGCGAUUUCCGAAUGGGGAAACCCAGUGUGAUUCGUCACACUAUCAUUAACUGAAUCCAUAGGUUAAUGAGGCGAACCGGGGGAACUGAAACAUCUAAGUACCCCGAGGAAAAGAAAUCAACCGAGAUUCCCCCAGUAGCGGCGAGCGAACGGGGAGCAGCCCAGAGCCUGAAUCAGUGUGUGUGUUAGUGGAAGCGUCUGGAAAGGCGCGCGAUACAGGGUGACAGCCCCGUACACAAAAAUGCACAUACUGUGAGCUCGAUGAGUAGGGCGGGACACGUGGUAUCCUGUCUGAAUAUGGGGGGACCAUCCUCCAAGGCUAAAUACUCCUGACUGACCGAUAGUGAACCAGUACCGUGAGGGAAAGGCGAAAAGAACCCCG
rnacentral:rRNA from 1 species